rnacentral:lncRNA from 1 species
AUACAUGGUUUAUUAGGAAAGUGAGUUGUCUGAACUCAUCCCCAUAUUGAUGCUCAAUACUAUUCUCAAUAAUAUAUAUUCAUGCUCAAUGUUUAAAAACAUACUCUUUCUCUGGUUUGAGAUAAUUGUUCAAACUAUCCUUUUAAAAGAGGUAACUGCUCUUGAAAUAUCUUCUGAACUCAUAACUCAUUUAGAAAUCAAAGUUUCUCUUUUAUCAUUGUAAAAACUAACACCUUUGGGGAAUACUUAGUUCCCUUAUACUCUUACUCAAUUCAUACAUGAAAACUCGUUCUCAAAAAUAUAUCAAAA